rnacentral:snRNA from 1 species
AGCUUUGCACAGUGGCAGUAUCAUAGCCAAUGAGGUUUAUCCAAGGCGUGAUUAUUGCUAAAAAAAAAAAAAGAGGAGCAGCCAGGAUACAAACCGGCGCCCACAUGGGAUGCCAGUGCCACAGGCGGAAGCUUAGCCCACUACGCCACAGUGCUGGUCCCAGGAACUUUUAUAUUAGCCUGUUUCAUAGGCAAACAAAAAAUAUCUGUAAGGCAAAAACAAAUCCCAAAGACAGC